rfam:Amborella trichopoda AMTR_V1.0_contig_23882, whole genome shotgun sequence.
CUACAGGAGCUUCUAGGCUCCAACAACUAUAGCAACCAGAAAAUAU